AUUGAACGCUGGCAGCAUGCCUUACACAUGCAAGUCGAACGGCAGCACGGGAGCAAUCCUGGUGGCGAGUGGCGAACGGGUGAGUAAAGUAUCGGAACGUGCCCAGUCGUGGGGGAUAACGUAGCGAAAGUUACGCUAAUACCGCAUACGAUCUAUGGAUGAAAGCGGGGGAUCGCAAGACCUCGCGCGAUUGGAGCGGCCGAUAUCAGAUUAGGUAGUUGGUGGGGUAAAGGCUCACCAAGCCGACGAUCUGUAGCUGGUCUGAGAGGACGACCAGCCACACGGGGACUGAGACACGGCCCAGACUCCUACGGGAGGCAGCAGUGGGGAAUUUUGGACAAUGGGCGAAAGCCUGAUCCAGCCAUGCCGCGUGCAGGAUGAAGGCCUUCGGGUUGUAAACUGCUUUUGUACGGAACGAAAAGGUUUGGCCUAAUAAGCUGAGCUCAUGACGGUACCGUAAGAAUAAGCACCGGCUAACUACGUGCCAGCAGCCGCAGUAA
rnacentral:rRNA from 1 species